rnacentral:rRNA from 1 species
UUUAUACAACGAAGAGUUUGAUCCUGGCUCAGGAUGAACGCUAGCGACAGGCCUAACACAUGCAAGUCGAGG